rnacentral:rRNA from 1 species
UACGUAGGGGGCAAGCGUUGUCCGGAUUCAUUGGGCGUAAAGAGCGUGUAGGCGGCCAGGUAGGUCGGUUGUGAAAACUGGAGGCUCAACCUUCAGAGGUCGACCGAAACCAUCUGGUCUAGACGGUCGGAGAGGAGAGUGGGAAUUCCUGGUGUAGCGGUGAAAUGCGCAGAUAUCAGGAAGAACACCCGUGGCGAAAGCGGCUCUCUGGAACGGUACUGACGCUGAGACGCGAAAGCGUGGGGAGCGAACAGG